rnacentral:misc_RNA from 1 species
UGCGGCUGGAUCACCUCCUUUCAAGGAUGUUUCCUGACACGUUGGGAAGCUCCGAAAUAAAAGUCCUUGUCUGUUAUCAGUCAAGGCGCCAGACAAUUCUGGAUGACCGGCCUCAGGGCGCCGUCAACAUAUCCCUUCCUAUAAUUUUCCCGGGCUAGUAGCUCAGUUGGUUAGAGCACACGCUUGAUAAGCGUGGGGUCGGAGGUUCAAGUCCUCCCUGGCCCACCAUGGUUUCGGAUUUCGGAGUUUGGGGGCAUAGCUCAGCUGGGAGAGCACCUGCUUUGCAAGCAGGGGGUCGUCGGUUCGAACCCGUCUGCCUCCACCAGUCAUGGUUGAGACCUCGGUCUUCUGUGGCGGUGAAAAGCUCGAAAUCUAGUCCAUACGGGAAAAUCAUAGGAAACGGGACGUCUGUUUCCUGAUCCGGUCUCCACAAAGUUGGAUGACGCGUCAGGGAUGUUGGGUCUUUUAGAGUGUGAAUAGGUUGGUGCGCAGUCUGCGUGUGCCAUUUCCGGGUUGGUCUGACCCGUUGCUUUGAAGCUUAGGCUUUGAAGGAGCGUUAAGGAAAUGGAGAACACAUUCAGACAGCGUGAAGAAAAGUGUGACUGACACCGCAUGAGUGCGGAAGUUGGCUUCAUCUUUAUGGUGUGGCUGGUUUCUGUGCAUGUGUCUUCAGAACCGUCUUCGGAUGGAAAUGAAGAAUGGUGUGAGAAUGAGAAGGGCGUUCGGUGGAUGCCUUGGCAC